CCUACGGGAGGCAGCAGUGGGGAAUUUUGGACAAUGGGGGAAACCCUGAUCCAGCCAUUCCGCGUGAGUGAAGAAGGCCUUCGGGUUGUAAAGCUCUUUCAGCAGGAACGAAACGGCCGACUUUAAUAAAGUCGGCUAAUGACGGUACCUGCAGAAGAAGCACCGGCUAACUACGUGCCAGCAGCCGCGGUAAUACGUAGGGUGCGAGCGUUAAUCGGAAUUACUGGGCGUAAAGCGUGCGCAGGCGGCGACAUAAGACAGAUGUGAAAUCCCCGGGCUCAACCUGGGAACUGCGUUUGUGACUGUGUUGCUAGAGUGUAGCAGAGGGGGGUGGAAUUCCACGUGUAGCAGUGAAAUGCGUAGAGAUGUGGAGGAACACCGAUGGCGAAGGCAGCCCCCUGGGUUAACACUGACGCUCAUGCACGAAAGCGUGGGGAGCAAACAGGAUUAGAUACCCUGGUAGUCCACGCCCUAAACGAUGCCAACUAGGUGUUGGGGAAGGAGACUUCCUUAGUAC
rnacentral:rRNA from 1 species